rnacentral:rRNA from 1 species
UGAUGCAGCGACGCCGCGUGUGUGAUGACGGUCUUCGGAUUGUAAACCUCUUUCGUCAGGGACGAUGGUGAUGGGACCUGACGAGUAAACCACGGAUAACUUAAUGCCGGGCCCCCCGCCGCUAUUUA